rnacentral:rRNA from 1 species
AUGGGGACUAUUACUGUUGGAUUCCAUCUUUUUUUUCUCAUUCCCACAAUUGCAUUGCACGCCCAUGCCUCAUCUCAGGAGGCGCAUCUCACAAAGUUCCUCUCGUCUAAAAGAUCCAGAAGCAACAUCAGCAACAAAAUUGGUGAUCCUACUAGUUUCCAUGGCGGAUCAUUUCUCGGAAUCGCCAGCAGCCCCCGAACAGAUGGGUACUCAGGCUCCGACCACAUCGCUAUGAAGGCGGCCGACAAGAUCUCGGCGCUACCAGGACAGCCGGAGGGCGUCGACUUCGACCAGUACGGCGGGUACGUGACUGUCGACGACCAUAAUGGCCGCGCACUCUUCUAUUACUUCGUGGAAUCUCCCGGCAACCCGAUGGCGAAGCCACUCCUCCUAUGGCUCAACGGAGGUGAGGAAGAUACACUCUACUACUAG